GAAUCUUGGUCAAUGGGCGCAAGCCUGAACCAGCGACGCCGCGUGAGUGAUGAAGGCCUUCGGGUUGUAAAGCUCUGUGGGGAGGGACGAAAGACUGAGGUCUAAUAGGCUUCAGGUUGACGGUACCUCCUUAGCAAGCACCGGCUAACUCUGUGCCAGCAGCCGCGGUAAGACAGAGGGUGCAAACGUUGCUCGGAAUCACUGGGCGUAAAGGGCGUGUAGGCGGGAAGGAAAGUCAGAUGUGAAAUCCCCAGGCUCAACCUGGGAACUGCAUUUGAAACUCCCUUUCUUGAGUACCGGAGAGGAAAGUGGAAUUCCUGGUGUAGAGGUGAAAUUCGUAGAUAUCAGGAGGAACACCAGUGGCGAAGGCGGCUUUCUGGACGGUAACUGACGCUGAGACGCGAAAGCGUGGGGAGCAAACAGG
rnacentral:rRNA from 1 species